rnacentral:rRNA from 1 species
CAGCAGCCACGGGAAUACGGAGGGUGCAAGCGUUAAUCGGAAUUACUGGGCGUAAAGCGUACGCAGGCGGUUUGUUAAGUCAGAUGUGAAAUCCCCGAGCUUAACUUGGGAACUGCAUUUGAAACUGGCAAGCUAGAGUCUUGUAGAGGGGGGUAGAAUUCCAGGUGUAGCGGUGAAAUGCGUAGAGAUCUGGAGGAAUACCGAUGGCGAAGGCAGCCAUCUGGCCUAAUACUGACGCUGAGGUACGAAAGCAUGGGGAGCAAACAGGAUUAGAGACCCCAGUAGUCCCUGUCUCUUAUAC